UGGUGGAGUGAUUUGUCUGGUUAAUUCCGAUAACGAACGAGACUCUGUCCUGCUAACUAGGUUGUGUUUUCUCGGGUCGUGGUGUUCUGGUGUUCCUUCUCGGGGCGCCGGCCCGAUCCACUUGUGAACACAACACUCUUCUUAGAGGGACUGGCGGCUGUUAGCCGCACGAGAUAGAGCAAUAACA
rnacentral:rRNA from 1 species